rnacentral:rRNA from 1 species
UACAGAGGAUGCAAGCGUUAUCCGGAAUGAUUGGGCGUAAAGCGUCUGUAGGUGGCUUUUUAAGUCCGCCGUCAAAUCCCAGGGCUCAACUCUGGACAGGCGGUGGAAACUACCAAGCUUGAGUACGGUAGGGACAGAGGGAAUUUCCGGUGGAGCGGUGAAAUGCGUAGAGAUCGGAAAGACACCAACGGCGAAAGCACUCUGCUGGGCCGACACUGACACUGAGAGACGAAAGCUAGGGGAGCGAAUGGG